AGAUAUUCAACACACAAGCAACACAUAAACAACAACACAAACAACUAAAACAAUUAAAAUACCAUUACUAUAAUUAAGAGAUUACAACGAUCAAAACAAUUUUGAACAUAUUAUGCAUCAUCCUGUGAACGUCUUUGUCAGUCUUAAUAUCCACCCAUUCACGCACUUCUCCAUUUUGGUUGAACGUGGACACAAACCACUGAAUUCUUCUAAUCCUUUCACCAUCUGCAAUUUCUUCAGCUAACCAACGGUUCAACGUCCGAUUAAGACUUUCAAACGAAUCUAUAUUCCAAAUUCGAAUCUUUAUCGGAGGUGCGACAACUGAAAAAAUUAAAUCGACAUUUCUCUUGUGAAUGUAUUCAGACAUGGUUAAAAAUAAAAAAAUUGAAGGAGAUUG
rnacentral:lncRNA from 1 species